rnacentral:tRNA from 1 species
UGUAGCUUAGUGGUAGAGUACUUGCCUGGUAUGUAUGAGACCCUGGGUUUGAUCCACAGCA